UACGGGGGGAGCAAGCGUUGUUCGGAUUUACUGGGCGUAAAGGGCGCGUAGGCGGCCACCGCAAGUCAAUUGUGAAAUCUCCGGGCUUAACUCGGAAAGGUCAACUGAUACUGCGGGGCUAGAGUGCGGAAGGGGCAACUGGAAUUCUCGGUGUAGCGGUGAAAUGCGUAGAUAUCGAGAGGAACACCUGCGGCGAAGGCGGGUUGCUGGGCCGACACUGACGCUGAGGCGCGAAAGCUAGGGGAGCGAACGG
rnacentral:rRNA from 1 species